GUUCUUAUUCAGUCCAGUAGAUGCCGUUUGUUAAGGCACAGGUGCCAUAUUAGCACCGGGUCUCGGUACCCAACCCUAGUCACCACGCUACCAAAGCAAA